GAUGAACGCUAGCUACAGGCUUAACACAUGCAAGUCGAGGGGUAGCAGGGUAGCAAUACCGCUGACGACCGGCGCACGGGUGAGUAACACGUAUCCAACCUUCCCAUAACUCGGGGAUAGCCUUUCGAAAGAAAGAUUAAUACCCGAUAGUACUUUAUUAAGGCAUCUUAAGAAAGUUAAAGAUUUAUUGGUUAUGGAUGGGGAUGCGUUCCAUUAGAUAGUUGGUGAGGUAACGGCUCACCAAGGCUUCGAUGGAUAGGGGUUCUGAGAGGAAGGUCCCCCACAUUGGUACUGAGACACGGACCAAACUCCUACGGGAGGCAGCAGUGAGGAAUAUUGGUCAAUGGGCGAGAGCCUGAACCAGCCAAGUAGCGUGAAGGAUGAAGGUCCUAUGGAUUGUAAACUUCUUUUAUAGUAGAAUAAAGUGAACCACGUGUGGUUUUUUGUAUGUAUACUAUGAAUAAGGAUCGGCUAACUCCGUGCCAGCAGCCGCGGUAA
rnacentral:rRNA from 1 species